UUUUUUCUUACAAUGAGACUACAAGAAUGACCUCUAUUUAUAGGACCACAUGGAUAACUCUAGAGACAUGGGAAUAUAAAUGGACACCUAAUAAUUCAUGAAUUUGCAUCAUGUAUUUUCCUGAUACAUUUUCUUCAAGUGCAUCAUGUAUUUUCCUGAUACAUUUUCUUCAAGUGCAUGUAACCUUAUUUAUUUCCUAAGAUUACAAAUUAAUGCCACAUUUAAC
rnacentral:lncRNA from 1 species